rnacentral:rRNA from 1 species
GACGAACGCUGGCGGCGUGCUUAACACAUGCAAGUCGAACGGUAAGGCCCUUCGGGGUACACGAGUGGCGAACGGGUGAGUAACACGUGGGUGAUCUGCCCUGCACUUCGGGAUAAGCCUGGGAAACUGGGUCUAAUACCGUAUAGGACCAUUGCCUGCAUGGGUGGUGGUGGAACGAUUUUGCGGUGUGGGAUGGGCCCGCGGCCUAUCAGCUUGUUGGUGGGGUGAGGGCCUACCAAGGCGACGACGGGUAGCCGGCCUGAGAGGGUGACCGGCCACACUGGGACUGAGAUACGGCCCAGACUCCUACGGGAGGCAGCAGUGGGGAAUAUUGCACAAUGGGCGCAAGCCUGAUGCAGCGACGCCGCGUGAGGGAUGACGGCCUUCGGGUUGUAAACCUCUUUCAGCACCGACGAAGCGCAAGUGACGGUAGGUGCAGAAGAAGGACCGGCCAACUACGUGCCAGCCGCCGCCGUAA